UUCUAUUCGUGUCUCACAGCUCUGCCUCUUUCUCACCUCUGUCUCCGUCUCACCUGCGAUGGAGGUCGUCAACCGCUCAGAUCUAGACGGCUCUCGUCCCCUGCGUUCUGGAAUUCCGUAGCGUGUAACUUCUCCGGCCGCAUGGUUCCGACGAGGAUUCGAUCGGUUAGCUUCGCAGCUCUUUGUUUGGUUCUGAUCGCGAUUCCUUUUCUGGCAUCCGAAGCUUUGAUCGACGGCCAGGAUGCCAAUCCUCCUUACCCCAAAGUCAUAUCUGUCAGAAGGUGCAUCAAUGUCAGAAGUACGGAGAUUUAGAAGAAGAAACAUUGGUAUUACUUUGGAAAUUGGAGAUGAUAUCCUAAGGUCAAAUAUUACUGUUCUUAUAUUGUAAUCAUUAUUGUUAUAGUCAUUUUGGUCAUUACUUUCUUCAUUUUUCUAGUUUUACUAAAGCCCUCAUACUCUCACUUCACUCUGCAAUUCAUUCUGAAGGUCUAUGAGGUAAUGAUUGAAUAAUUGUAGUUUGUAAGUUUGAAAUAUAUCUGCUUGAAGUCCUUAAGGGAAUUCUUUAGCUUAUUUUCUCAACUUUCUAAGGAGAUACAGUGAAAGCCAAUUUGCACUACAUAUAACAAAACAGACUGUAUCAAUUAAUCCCAAGCCAUUUUUGAACAAUUUGACUGGAAAGCCUGUCAUGGUGAAACUCAAGUGGGGGAUGGAGUACAAAGGUACUAUUCUUCUCAUUCUUAAGAAGCAAGGUUUCUUGAUUGCAUUGCAGGAAUGGAGGUAGAUAUGCAGGGGAGUAUUUUGGGGAUAAAGUCCAUGGUUUUGGUGUGUAUCACUUUGCCAAUGGGCACUGUUACAAAGGGUCAUGGCACAAGGGGCGCAAACAAGGGUAUGGAGCAUACACAUUUCGAAAUGGGGAGACAAGAAGUGGUAUUCAUCAUUUUACUGUUUUAUUUAGUACUUUCAGGUUGCAAUAUUGAAAUACUAAUGUUAAUUUUAGACUGUUCUUUUUCUUACACCAGGGGUGGAAGAGACUUCUGGGUUAUAAUGUUGCAUACUUGCAUCUAUGCAUUUUUGUUUGAAUUUAUAUAAACUAUUACUUGUUAGUUAUAGGCAAUGUCUAAGAAAGUAAUCACAAUAUAAGAGUGAGAGAAGAAGCUGAACAAUGUUAGGAUUAGAAAAGAGGACAUGAAUAAACUAGUGAUGAACUUCCUAGUCACUGAGGGUUAUGUGGAAGCAGCAGAGAAAUUCAGAAAGGAAUCUGGGACAGAACGUAUCCUUAUAUCAUCUUUACUUAGUUGUUGUGUACAUUUAAGAGUUUUGUUUUUCGAGUGAGAGAAGCUCCUUGCCACAAAUCUUUUAUUGACUCUGCUGCCAUAUUUUUUGUUAUAAUUGGUGUUUAAUUUAAACAGAUAGCAGGAAAUGAUAAGGAUUCUGUGCUCAUUUCAUUUGCAACAAAGACCUCAUAUGUAUUUCAUUUAUUGUUUUUUACAAGUACCGUAGUAAUUUGUAUUGUUUUAAAGUGUGUUGAUGGAUAAAUUGUAUUGUGGAAUAAUGUUGAUAUGGAUUUUAAGCUGUAAUAGGUACAGGAAUUAUAAAAAAAAAAAAAUUGGGAUUUUAAUUGCCUUCGAGCAAAAGCAGCUAAAACUCCCAGUAAAGUGCCUGCUCCGGUCACACAUCAAAGUGAACCAACUAUUGUAAGAACAGUUCCCCAAGUCCCCCAACCUGGUCCUCCUCCUCUUUCAGUCACAGUGAGACCAAUGAUCCAAACUCCUCAAGGACCUCAACCCAUUGCUGCCCCUUCAGUAAGUGCAGGUAAGAAUGGUUCAGAUAGCUCCCAGAUGGAGUUUGAAGCAAAAUUUGCUAGGGAUGGUGCAUGAUGCUACAAUUUCCUAUCAUUUGCCAACAUAGGAUGAGUGUUUUCUGUUCUGGACACUAUGAAUGAUUUUGUGGACCUUUGCAACUUCAUCAGAUCCCUCUUGUAAUUGAUAGAGUAUAUUGCAAUUAGUCAUUCAGCUGCACUACAUUUAAUUCUUGCUCAUAUGUUUAGACAUUGGAUAUUCUGCUAUUCUGGUUUUUUGUAACAACAUACAUUGUUUAGACUUGAUUCGUGGAAUUGUUUUUUGUAGUAUUAUGACUUAGAUGAUAUAUGAUUCAAUUAGAAUUGGUCAUG